CCCCAUACGAGAUUCUAUUUGGGACUGCACCUAGGCUAGGUUGCUAUUUUCCCCAAAAACUACAACUUCAAACUGAUGUUUUAGUAGAUUAUGUAACUGAACUCGCAAAUGCUUUGAACAAAAUCCAUGUCCAAGUUUUCUCUAAAAUUCCAGAUCCUGAUUCUGACACAGGCAACCACAGUCUGCUCCCCGGUGACUGGGUUCUGGUCAAGAAAUUUCUGCGAAAACACACCCUGGAACCAAGAUUUGACGGACCGUUCCAAGUUCUCCUGAUCUCCCCUACCUCUGUCAAAUUGGCCGGAAGGCCUAACUGGAUCCACGCUUCCCACUGCAAGAAGACACCUGCCCCAGAGGAAGCUAACUCUAUGCAACCAUGUGCCUCUGGUACAUUAUCUCCUUAGUCGGCCUCCUUAAAGCCCAGCAGGUGGCCAUCACCAAAGAUGCUAGUGGAUACACUUUCUGGUAUAAUUCAUCAUGUACCCAUGUGGCUACAUUCACUUUUGAUUACUGUGAUAUUGUAGAGUGCCCAUUCCCUAAGUCACAGAUUCAAGCCAUUUAUAAAG
rnacentral:lncRNA from 1 species